rnacentral:ncRNA from 1 species
UUAAAGUUUGAUCCUUGCUUGACUUCUUUAUUAUUAAGUUAACAUACAUGUAAGAUAAAUCUGGUGGUUCUUCCGUUAAAGGCGAUACUAGAAGGUCUCAGUAUGAAGAAUUGGUCACUGAAAUAACUUUGAACCAGUAAUUUUAAAAGUUCAGGCUAAAUUUGUGCCAGCAGCCGCGGUUAGACUGAUAGAGCGAAUGAAGACGUUUAAGUAGGUAGUUCAAAUUAACCAUUUCGGCUUAGUGUUCAACUAUAGGGGUAAAGGGUGAAAUCUGGUGCCGCUGGUGUCGAAUAGUUGGGUAUUAGUCCGAGAAAUUUUUAAGCUACUAAGGUUUAGAUUUAAAACAGGAUUAGAUACCCUGUUAUACUAGACUGAAAAUCUAUCACUUGAGUAGUAAACAGUUAUACUCUCGAAACUUAAAGGAUUUGGCGGUAUCUUAGUCUCGUUAGAGGAAUCUGUUCUGUAAACGAUAAACCACGAAGUAUCUUACUUCUUCUUGUAUUUCAGUUUGUAUACCGCCAUUAUUAGAUAGUUUUUAUAAAAAUCUAUUAGAAGAGUAAAGAGCUAGUAUAUUAGGUCAAGGUGCAGCUAAUGGGGGAGUGAGUAAUGGAUUACAAUGGUAUGAGUGUAUCACGAAUUGGCAAGUGAAUAUUUGCUUUGAAGGUGGAUUUAAUAGUAAAGCCUAUUUAAUAAGUGGGCUUGAUAAGAGCUCUAAGAUAUGUACACAUCGCCCGUCGCUCUCACUUCUAAUGUGAGAUAAGUCGUAACAUAGUAGGUGUGUUGGAAAAUGCACCUAGAGUUAA